GAUGAACGCUGGCGGCGUGCCUAAUACAUGCAAGUCGAGCGAACAGACGAGGAGCUUGCUCCUCUGACGUUAGCGGCGGACGGGUGAGUAACACGUGGAUAACCUACCUAUAAGACUGGGAUAACUUCGGGAAACCGGAGCUAAUACCGGAUAAUAUAUUGAACCGCAUGGUUCAAUAGUGAAAGACGGUUUUGCUGACACUUAUAGAUGGAUCCGCGCCGCAUUAGCUAGUUGGUAAGGUAACGGCUUACCAAGGCAACGAUGCGUAGCCGACCUGAGAGGGUGAUCGGCCACACUGGAACUGAGAAACGGUCCAGACUCCUACGGGAGGCAGCAGUAGGGAAUCUUCCGCAAUGGGCGAAAGCUUGACGGAGCAACGCCGCGUGAGUGAUGAAGGUCUUCGGAUCGUAAAACUCUGUUAUUAGGGAAGAACAAAUGUGUAAGUAACUAUGCACGUAUUGACGGUACCUAAUCAGAAAGCCACGGCUAACUACGUG
rnacentral:rRNA from 1 species